rnacentral:piRNA from 1 species
UAACUAAAGAAACUCAUUUCU